rnacentral:tRNA from 1 species
GGCCGAGUGGUGGAAUGGCAGACACCGGAGACUUAAAAUCUCUUGCUCCGUGAGGGGCGUGCGGGUUCAAGUCCCGCCUUGGCCACCA